rnacentral:tRNA from 1 species
GGCCCGUUAGCUCAGUCGGUUAGAGCGUCGUGCUAAUAACGGGAAGGUCGUGGGUUCGAUCCCCCCACGGGCCA